AUGGCUGUCGUCAGCUCGUGCCGUGAGGUGUUGCCUUAAGUGGCGCAACGAGCGCAACCCUUGUCCUUAGUUGCCAGCACGUAAUGGUGGGAACUCUAAGGAGACCGCCGGUGACAAACCGGAGGAAGGUGGGGAUGACGUCAAGUCAUCAUGGCCCUUACGGCCAGGGCUACACACGUACUACAAUGGGAGGUACAGAGGGUCGCAAAACCGCGAGGUUGAGCCAAUCCCAGAAAACCUCUCUCAGUCCGGAUCGGAGUCUGCAACUCGACUCCGUGAAGUCGGAAUCGCUAGUAAUCGCGAAUCAGCAUUGUCGCGGUGAAUACGUUCCCGGGCCUUGUACACACCGCCCGUCACACCAUGGGAGUUGGUUGCUCCAGAAGCAGGUAGUCUAACCGUAAGGAGGACGCUUGCCACGGAGUGGUCAAUGACUGGGGUGAAGUCGUAACAAGGUAGCCGUAUCGGAAGGUGCGGCUGGAUCACCUCCUUUCGAGUACGACGUACCACUCCAUGGCGUCCACACAAGACACCUGCAUUCAGAAGCAUUCGAGCCCACAGGGGCUCGAGGGCCUAGCGCCCGUUAAUAUCGGGGCUGUAGCUCAGCUGGGAGAGCACCUGCUUUGCAAGCAGGGGGUCAGCGGUUCGAUCCCGCUCAGCUCCACCAGUUUGAUGUUAUGGGUCCUCCACGCAGUACUCCGUCAGCGAUGACAGGAUUCUGCGAACAAGACCGGGUCUGUAGCUCAGGUGGUUAGAGCGCACCCCUGAUAAGGGUGAGGUCGGUAGUUCGAGUCUACCCAGACCCACCAUUAUUGACGGUCCGUUACCAGCCAACGCUACUUCUGAAUGCCUGCACACACUUAAUCGAAUUUUUCCUGUGAAGCGUUGAAGCUUCGCGGGGUUCUUUGAAAACUUGGGACGUAACAACAAUAGCGUCUGAACUCUCACCGAGUCAGAUGUGUCGUUGAGGCAAUUAGGCGGAAAUAUGAUUGUUGAUCGAUCCGGAGGCGACUUCGGGUUAUAUGAUCAAGCGAAUAAGCGUCUACGGUGGAUGCCUUGGCAGUCAGAGGCGAUGAAGGACGUGACAGCCUGCGAAAAGCUCCGGGGAGCUGGCAAUAUGCAUUGAUCCGGAGAUGUCCGAAUGGGGAAACCCGG
rnacentral:sRNA from 1 species